rnacentral:lncRNA from 1 species
AAAUCCUCCCGGGUAUUGCCUCAGCCGAGUCCUGGCAGAGGCCACGCGGAAAAGAAUUCACUCUGAAAGCUGAGCUUGUUCUCCUGAAGGGGUGAAGCAGGCUGAAGAGAAGGGAUGAGAGAGUUCCCCCACCCCACCUCCACUCCUUCACAAGUCCUCUCUUGGAAACUACGUUUCCCCUUCCUGGGAUGACCUCUGUCCUUAAUAAAAUGGGAGAAACAGAACAUCGAGACUUGUUUCCUUCUCAAAUGAAAAGACUGCACGCACUGAAGUGCAUUUUAAAUGCUGUUUGGCAAGUGCGGAGUGGUUGGGGGAGGGGAGGAGGCUGACUUGCUUUUUCUUUGCUGGAUAUCUGGGAACCGAGCCCAUCCGCACUUUCUCCAUGAAACUUGAAGGGCAAUGUAUCAUUGUGGGAGAGAUACUGCAGUUUUUCCAAACAGAAACCUAGCCCUUCUUAGGGUCGGCUUCAUUUACAAGAUGGAGGUAUUUUAAAUGAAGAAGACAAACCUAACUUUCAACGAACUAGGAGGGGAAAAAAUCCUAGAAUCGAAUUCCUCUUUGCUCUGGAAAACAAAUCGCCUCCCUUUGGGUUUUAGAAGGACCAUCUGGCAAGUGAAUUGGCCUCUCCGCUUUCCAUCGAAGGAGCCAGGAGAAACGCUGUCUGCACGCCCCUGGCCUGGCCUUGGAGGAGUGCUUUUGAUCUGAUGGCCUUGCAGGAGGCAUGCCACCUACCUCUGCUGCCUUUCUGUUUGAAGGGCUAGCAGGCACUGGAGGGUCAGGAGCCCAACUCAUCCAAAAUCCCAGUGUGGUUAAGUGACUUGGCCAAGGCCACUCAGAGAGUCAGUGGCCAAGUCAGAACUGGAAGCCUGGUCUCCCAACUCCUGGACCAGUGCUCUCUGUGACAAACAAUGUGCUUCUCCAAGACAGCUGGGCUGUCACCACGGACCAAGUGCUCAAACUUCUAUAGUUGUCCAGACUAGAUUCAUGACAUGGGCAUCUUGUUAAAAUGCAAGUUCUGGGGGCUGGCCCCGUGGCCGAGUGGUUAAGUUCGUGCGCUCCGCUGCAGGCGGCCCAGUGUUUCGUUAGUUCGAAUCCUGGGCGCGGACAUGGCACUGCUCGUCAGACCACGCUGAGGCAGCGUCCCACAUGCCACAACUAGAAGAACCCACAACGAAGA